rnacentral:misc_RNA from 1 species
UCUCCGUAGGUGAACCUGCGGAGGGAUCAUUACAGAGUUCGUGCCCUCACGGGUAGAUCUCCCACCCUGUGUUAUUAUACCUUUGUUGCUUUGGCGGGCCGCCCUCGGCUACCGGCCCCGGCUGGUACGCGCCCGCCAGAGGACCCCAAACUCUGAAUGUUAGUGUCGUCUGAGUACUAUACAAUAGUUAAAACUUUCAACAACGGAUCUCUUGGUUCUGGCAUCGAUGAAAACGCAGC